UGUUUAUUUGAGCAGGAGAAAGUUUGGUUAUGAACCACAGGUGGGAGAGGCGGAGCUAUAGAGAAAAUAAAAGGUUAUGUAAACUUACAGUUAGAGUGUUUCAAUGUGUUUUAAUUUUAUCUUGAAUAAAAAUCAGAAGGUUUAGGGCGAGUAAACCAGUUUCGAAGUCCUAGAAAGAGAAAGCUGACACGCCACCUUUACCUGAUAUCGAUUUGUGAUGCUGGGUGAAAAGGAAACUCAUAGCUUGGUAGUAAAUUAUAUAAUUCUCAUAAUCCUUCUCUUCAUUCUGUGGCUACUGUACGUUGGGAUGUAAAGAAACCCGUCAUGUUAACAGAGUAUUUAUAAGAUGUAAAGAAACCCGUCAUGUUAACAGAGUAUUUAUAAGUUGUGAUGUUUGCCAUAGUUUUAUCUCCUCGGUCAGUGCCAUCUUGUGGGUGAAGGAUCCAUAUUUCAAGGAAUUCACGAAGAAAGAACCAAUAUUUGAAAAAAAAAUACAUAAGAAAUGUUAUUUGAAACCUAUCGCAUUUCUUCAGAUGUUUAUGAAAUUAUAUUCAAGCAUGAAAAUGUGACAAGGAAACAGGAAUAAAAGAUGAUUAUCACAGAUAUGUCAGAAUUAAAUUACAUAUGUUAAAACAAGACUUAACGAACUUCAUGUUUUACAUUAGCUAAUGGUAUUUUAAAAUAAAGCAAAAAAAAACAACAA